rnacentral:misc_RNA from 1 species
GAUGAAGAACGUAGCGAAAUGCGAUACUUGGUGUGAAUUGCAGAAUCCCGUGAACCAUCGAGUCUUUGAACGCAAGUUGCGCCCGAAGCCAUCAGGUUGAGGGCACGUCUGCCUGGGCGUCACAUAUCGUUGCCCAAUGCCUAUUGCAGUGCAAUAGGAAUUUCUAUGGCGAAUGAUGGCUUCCCGUGAGCGUUGUUGCCUCGCGGUUGGUUGAAAAUCGAGUCCUUGGUAGGGUGUGCCAUGGUAGAUGGUGGUCGAGUUAGAACGAUACCGAUCAUGUGCAUGCUCCCCAAAAUAUGGCCUCUAUGACCCACACGCGUCUUUUGACGCUCAUGACGAGACCUCAGGUCAGGCGGGGCUACCCGCUGAAUUUAAGCAUAUCAAUAAGCGGAGGA